rnacentral:rRNA from 1 species
GUGAGGAAUAUUGCGCAAUGGAGGCAACUCUGACGCAGCCAUGCCGCGUGCAGGAAGAAGGCGCUACGCGUUGUAAACUGCUUUUAACCGGGAAGAAACCCCAGGACGUGUCCUGGGUUGACGGUACCAGAGGAAUAAGCACCGGCUGACUUCGUGCCAGCAGUCGCGGUAAUACGAAGGGUGCAAGCGUUAUCCGGAUUCAUUGGGUUUAAAGGGUGCGUAGGCGGAGCGUUAAGUCAGUGGUGAAAUCCUGCAGCUUAACUGUAGACUUGCCAUUGAUACUGGCGCUCUUGAGUGCGCUUGAAGUGGGCGGAAUGUGCCGUGUAGCGGUGAAAUGCUUAGAUAUGGCACAGAACACCAAUUGCGAAGGCAGCUCACUAAGGCGAUACUGACGCUGAGGCACGAAAGCGUGGGGAUCGAACAGGAUUAGAAACCCGGGUAGUCC